rnacentral:rRNA from 1 species
GACGAACCGAGCGAACGUUAUUCGGAAUCACUGGGCUUAAAGGGCGCGCAGGCGGCUCAUUUUGUCAGGCGUGAAAGCCCCGGGCUUAACCUGGGAACUGCGUUUGAUACGGAUGGGCUAGAGUUCGGGAGAGGAGCGUGGAAUUCCCAGUGUAGAGGUGAAAUUCGUAGAUAUUGGGGAAGAACACCGGUGGCGAAGGCGGCGCUCUGGACCGAGACUGACGCUGAGGCGCGAAAGCGUGGGGAGCAAACAGG